rnacentral:rRNA from 1 species
UACGGAGGGUGCGAGCGUUAUCCGGAAUUACUGGGUUUAAAGGGUGCGUAGGCGGCCAUGUAAGUCAGGCGUGAAAGUUUGCGGCUCAACCGUAAAAUUGCUUUUGAUACUGCAUGGCUGGAAUCAGGAUGAGGUCAGCGGAAUGUGGCAUGUAGCGGUGAAAUGCAUAGAUAUGCCAUAGAACACCAAUUGCGAAGGCAGCUGGCUAGACCUGUAUUGACGCUGAGGCACGAAAGCGAGGGGAGCAAACAGG